ACAAUGUGAAGCUACGUGCAGCGCAGAAGUUUCUUGGCGGUGGAGAUAAGGUGAAAGUCACUUUGCGUUUCCGUGGACGUGAAAUGGCUCACCAGGACCUUGGUCUUGGCAUGCUGCAGCGUUUUUCGGGGGAUCUUGAAGAUCUUGCCAAAACUGAACAGAUGCCGAAGAUGGAAGGCCGCAUAAUGAUUAUGGUGCUGGCGCCGCGUUAACCCGCGGCGUUUUGCCUUUCCAAGCAAGAGGGAAUGCCAUGGCAGCCGGGAAUGAUCUUCUGAUCGUCGGGGUCGAUGACGACCCUAAAAGUCUCGUGCUUCUGAAACGAA
rnacentral:misc_RNA from 1 species